rnacentral:rRNA from 1 species
AAUAAGCUAAUUAAGAGCGUAAGGUGGAUGCCUUGGCUCUCAGAGGCGAUGAAGGACGUGAUAAGCUGCGAUAAGCUACGGGGAUUGGCACACACAAUUUGAUCCGUAGAUUUCCGAAUGGGGAAACCCACUAUAUUGAAGAUAUAGUAUCCGUUAAGGAAGCAAACCCAGGGAACUGAAACAUCUAAGUACCUGGAGGAAUAGAAAACAAAAGUGAUUCCGCUAGUAGUGGCGAGCGAACGCGGAUCAGCCCAAACCAAAAUUGUUUCGGCAAUUUUGGGGUUGUAGGACCUCGACAUUGAAUGUUUAAUGAAUUAGAAUUCUUUGGAAAAAGAAACCAUAGAGGGUGAUAGUCCCGUAUAA